CGAAAGCCACACAGAAAAGCCACGGCAUAGGAGCCAACUUGAGAACAGUUUCAGCACUGAGACGGGUACUAGCUCCAUCGCCACCCAGAGACUGCAUUUUGCACUUACUGGGUGAUUUGAUAAAAUCCCAUUUAUUUGAACAAGACAGCCAAGUAGCUAGACAGCUUGUGUCUAUCCACUUUAAAAGAGGAGGGAGCAAAUGCAGCUGGGAAUUGGCAAAGGACUACGGUUUCC
rnacentral:lncRNA from 1 species